AUUUGCAGGGGAGCAGGAAUUUAAUCAAACAAGCCAAAUCCCAUGUCGUCAUCCGACUCCUCGGACUCCUCCUUCUUCUCAUCUUUCUUCUCCUCUGCUGCAGCGGGGGCAGAACCAGCAGCAGGUGCUGCAGAGCCAGGGGCAGCAGAAACAGCCACAGCCCCACCAGCAGGCACACUGGCCAGCUUGCCAACACCCUGAGCAAUGACAUCCUCAAUGUUCUUUCCAUUCAGCUCACUGAUGACCUUGUUGAGCCGAUCAUCGUCCGCUUCGAUGCCCACGCUGCCUAGUAUUUUCUUGAUGUCUUUGGCGCUAGGAGAGGAGUUGCCCCCGAGGGCGGCCAGCAGGAAAAUAUUAUACUUUAUUCCUAAAAAAGUAAACUUCUGCUCAGACUCACUAGAACGCUUCGAUUUCGAUGACCCGAGGUGAAGCGGUGAGCGUAGUGAGGAGGCAAACGCUCUUCAAACGACUAAACAGUCUGAUGCUGUAUAACCAAGUGUAUCACUUCAAACGUAAGGAGCAGAGUUUAAAGCCCAGAACCCAGCCACCCGCUCCCUUGCCUCUCCAGCUGUCUACUGAAGAUUCCUCUUCAGGGCUACUUCAAACCUAACAUUUACUAACUCCACUGAUGGGUUUCAAAAUGUGGCUUAUAAUUCCCCUGUCAAGUCACUGAUUUUUAUACUCAACUGGAGGCUUUAAAAAUAUUGUAGAAUAUAUCUGAACCUGAAUGAAACCAUUCUCAGUAUUUGUCUGGGGCAGGGUGGGUGUUGUGUGCUAACUGCCUGCUUUCACAGAUAAGCUUUAAAAAGAUGUGCUCUAGGUAGCAAAAGACGAUUUAAAACCGGAAGAGCUUUUCCAGUUCCCAGUAUGACGUCACUGCUGCUUCCUUUUCUUGUAAGAAUCGCUGCUGUGGACUCGAACUCGCUGCUGCACGGAGGAUGCAAUUUUCAAGCUGUCUUUCUUUGUGAACGUCUUCUCCAUAGCUCCAGGUUUCCACAGCAAUAGCUGUGCAUCUUCACCUCCGGUCAGCAGAGAAUCCUCAGACACGUUCCAACAGAAAGAACGGACGGUGGCUGCAUGGCCCCCAUGAAGGCUGGUCACAUGGGUCAGUCCUGCCGAGGUGCAGCUCAGUAGGUGAAUCUUUCCGGUGUUGGUUCCUCCAAUAACAAACAGUCUGUCCAUCUUCUCAUGAUACAGGCCACCAAUCAGAUAGUCCAAGUGCCCAUCUUUCACAUCGGUUAUUUCUCUUACAUCCUGGAUGUUCAAACACGUGAUCGGUUCAUCUGUAUCCAGAUGAUUGAGAUCCCACCAACAAAACCCUUCAUCGUGUGUCAUGCAGUAGAUUUGCUUAUAAUCUUUUCCACACCAACCGAUACAGCUCACUGAUGAAACGGAGUUACAGGUGGCAACCAGUGCGUCCUCUUCCUUAUCAGCACUGAGAUCAAACACAUUGACCAGACCAUCAGUGGACCCUGAGACAACCAAGUUGGGAUUGCUGGGAUGGAAACGCACUUGAGUGAUAUCAUCACUGUGCGUCUCUGAGUAGGCACCAAGUGGGUCUCUCGUCGACAGAUCCUGAGAUGUGAACCUUGCAUCCCAAAAUACCAACAAUGCAUCCUCGUCAACUUUCUCUGCACCAGCACAAAUGACAUGAUCUUUGCAGUUGACAUCAAAGCUGAUGAAACUACAGGAAGGGUAACCCUUGAACAACUGCACAGGCUUUUCGCUAGCUCCCCGAGCGUCCCAACACUUCACGGUGCCAUCUGUGCUUGCAGAGUAGACACUGUCACAGGAAUUUGCAAAGCUGACUCCACUAAGAAGCCCGGGAGAGCCACCAAAUUCUCGUAGCAGAUGUAGUGUCUCCUUAUCAUAUAUUCUUAUCGACCCAUUUGAGCACAGAACAGCCACCAAGCCUCCUUUGUCUGCUUGUACAGUCUUUGACGUGUCUAUGCCAAGCAGUCAAGGUUCUCAUGUGGCCCAAGACGACGUCAAACUCCCGCUGCAGUGGAAGCUGGCCUUGAACUUUUGAUCUUGCCUCUAUCUUCCGAGUAUCUCGGGCAUGGCCCACUGCAUCUAGCUCUGCCUGCAUGUUUUCCGUGGUACUUCUCAGCAAGGAAUACUUUUGGUGCCCUUGAGUGCCAACUCCUAGAAUUACAGCCAGCUAGUAGAAUCCUAUCGGUAUAGACAGCUCUCCCAUCUUCAUGCUUAUGAUGAUUUUAGUUCUGUUGCUCUAGUGGACGCCACAGUGCCCUGGUCAGAACCUUUUCAGCCGAGCCUAUCUCUCACAGUAUCUGCAUGAGUCACUCCUUCCUAUUCAGGUCACAGUGUACAGAAGUCACCCCCACUGACACCCUGACCACCAACCAUCCUAAAGAGGCCCCUCUGGUUCCCUAACACGCUGCCCAUUUAUUCAAUCUUACUUUUUAUUUAUUUAUUUUUCUUGAGACAGCCUUUUUUAUACUAAUUAUGUCCAGACCUUGUCAUUGUUGCUAAGACUAAGCAACUAGUUAUAUAAUAUUUACAUCCAAAAAGAGGGGCCACAAGCACCCUCUGGGUGUUGGCAUCUGUGGGAAUCCUCGACUGUGCUGCUUUUUCUGAGAGACAACUGUAUUCAUUGUAUUCUCAAUCUUGUUUAUAAAAUUCAUUAACUAGAGUGAUAAUUUCAUAAUUUACUAAUGACACAAUCUAAUUUUAAUAGAAUAGGGAAAACAGUAGACAAAUGCUUUUGGGCUUGAAUGAUGUUAGAAUAACAUGGGCAUUGCUGACCAUUCUCAGCUUCAUGAUAAAAUUAAAACAAAGUAGUUGUAUCACUCUAUUUCUAUGAAAUGCUCAGGAUUCACACACACACACACACACGUCAGUUGGUAGGUGUUUGACUAGCGGCUACAAAGCUCUGGUUUCAAUCCCCACUGAUGUAUACAUUUGGUUGUGGUAGUGCAUGCCUAUAAUCCUAGCACUUGGGAGAAGGCAGCAUUCAAUGAGCGCAAGUCACUGAGAUGGAGACAGUAAUAAAACACUUGCACAAGGCCCUGGGUUCGACCCCCAGCUCCACACACAAAAACUCAUCAAAAGAGUCAGUGCAUAACUGCUUCAACUUCCAAGGUAAGAACAGUUCUAGAAGGAAAGGAAAGAAAGCUAAAAGGACAUUGUACGCAUCUAUGUAUUUGCAGGGACCUCUGAUCACGGAAAAAUACAAAAUACUGUUUAUAAAAGUAUUUGAAAUAGUGCACAAAAAGGGGGAAGUGAGACUUUAAAUGUGGAAAGAACAGUAUUAUUAACCAACUAUUUUACCACAGGCUGGCUAUUAAAGGACACUUUAAACUGUACAUUAAUUUAGAAAUAGACUGCCUAAGAGAUAUGGUAGCACAUGUCUAUUGUUGGGGCUUUUGUGGCCGAGCACCUUGGCAUGUGCCAACCAAGGAAUGCCACAGAGGUCACACCCAACUCAACAGAUCAAACGCAAGAUCAUGCAAGAGAUUUAUUAGACAGAGGGCUGCCUAGGAGCAGGGACAAGAGAGAGGUGGCUGGGGAGGGGCAAGAAAGACAGAGCAAGUGUCAGAGACAGAGAAAGGGACAGAAUGAGAGAGUGGGCCUUGGCAGCAGGGACCUUCUUAAAGAGUACAUAUGUCAUAUGUGGAGGCUGGUGGCGACAUGAGUGCUGGUGCUGAGUCCCUGCAGCAGGCUGCGGAGCACCUGAUUUCUAGCACCUGUAAUCCCAGCACUCUGGGCUGAGGCAGGGACACCCAGGGGUCAAGACUAGCCUCAGCUACAUGGUGAGUUCAAGGUCUGCUUGGGUUACAGGAUACCCUAUUUCAAAAAAAAAACAAAAAACAAC
rnacentral:lncRNA from 1 species